rnacentral:rRNA from 1 species
UAGGGAAUCUUCGGCAAUGGGGGCAACCCUGACCGAGCAACGCCGCGUGAGUGAAGAAGGUUUUCGGAUCGUAAAGCUCUGUUGUAAGUCAAGAACGAGUGUGAGAGUGGAAAGUUCACACUGUGACGGUAGCUUACCAGAAAGGGACGGCUAACUACGUGCCAGCAGCCGCGGUAAUACGUAGGUCUCGAGCGUUGUCCGGAUUUAUUGGGCGUAAAGCGAGCGCAGGCGGUUUGAUAAGUCUGAAGUUAAAGGCUGUGGCUCAACCAUAGUUCGCUUUGGAAACUGUCAAACUUGAGUGCAGAAGGGGAGAGUGGAAUUCCAUGUGUAGCGGUGAAAUGCGUAGAUAUAUGGAGGAACACCGGUGGCGAAAGCGGCUCUCUGGUCUGUAACUGACGCUGAGGCUCGAAAGCGUGGGGAGCGAACAGGAUUAGAUACCCUGGUAGUCCACGCCGUAAACGAUGAGUGCUAGUGUUGGAUCCUUUCCGGGAUUCAGUGCCGCAGCUAACGCAUUAAAGCACUCCGCCUGGGGAGUACGACCGCAAGGU